UACGAAGGGGGCUAGCGUUGUUCGGAAUUACUGGGCGUAAAGCGUGCGCAGGCGGCUAUCCAAGUCAGUGGUGAAAGCCCGGAGCUCAACUCCGGAACUGCCAUUGAAACUGUUUAGCUCGAGUACGAGAGAGGUGAGUGGAAUUCCCAGUGAUAGAGGUGAAAUUCGUAGAUAUCAGGAGGAACACCAAUUGCGAAGGCAGCUCGCUGGGACGUUACUGACGCUGAGACGCGAAAGCGUGGGGAGCAAACAGG
rnacentral:rRNA from 1 species